rnacentral:ncRNA from 1 species
GCAUUUUAGAAUCACUUAAUGUUCUGUUUUUUUUCAGCCAUCCCUGAACACGACGUUCAGGGAAGUUGCCGCUGAGCCAUGGAUGGCGAAUCGGCAACGGUGGCGUUCGCUUACCAUUUGUAUAUCAGAACAUUUAGUGAUUCUUAAUG